ensembl:lncRNA
ACCCCUGCAUAACUGCUUGCAGUUCUAGUUAGGGGUCCAAGCCAACAGGUUGGAUCCCUAUUGUUUUUGUAAGGAUUUUUUUUAUUAGGGGUCCAAGCCAACAGGUUGGAUCCCUAUUGUUUUUGUAAGGAUUUUUCCUAUUAUACUUACCUCCCUAAAAGUGGGACCACAGCCCAAACCGUAAAUGGUGCCGACACGCCAAUUGCAUGACUAGAUCCAGAUCUCUUCGGACUAUGCAGACGACAAAAUCCAGACACGCCGGUCACUAGGUGGCGCUAUACCAAGGAAUACGCGUUUGGGGCUAUAACUCCCAAACCGAACCUCCCAC